UCACCCCGCCCAAGGGCCGUGCGUACGUGCGUCGUCUCUAUGGUGGCGGUGGAUUUGGAGGGACCCUACGAACCAAGAGUCAGGCGAGCCGAUCUGGGGGCUGCGGGUGUUACUUCUGACCUAGGCCGGGGGCUUCAGGGAUCCGAGCCGAGCGCGCCUGGUGAUUCGAAGGCACCUCCCUACAGAAUGUUCCGCUGGGAGCGCUCCAUUCCCCUUCGAGGCUCGGCCGCCGCCCUGUGCAACAACCUCAGUGUGCUGCAGCUGCCGGCUCGCAACCUCACGUAUUUUGGUGUGGUUCAUGGACCAAGCGCCCAGCUUCUCAGCGCUGCUCCUGAGGGUGUGCCCUUGGCCCAGCGCCAGCUCCACGCUAAGGAGGGUGCUGGAGUGAGCCCACCACUUAUCACUCAGGUGAGGCAUGGAGUUAGCAGUGAUGUUGCUGAACCCUGUCCUACCCCCAGCCUUUUCUCUCCAAACCUUCAGGAGCAGGCAUGUUCUAACUUCAGAAUCUCCACCUUUCUGCCUGGCGCGGUGGCUCACGCCUGUAAUCCCAACGCUUUGGGAGGCUGAGACGGGCACUUGAGGCCAGGAGUUCGAGAACAGCCUGGCCAACAUGGUGAAACCUCUUCUCUACUAAGAAUACAAAAAUAUUAACGGGGUGUGGUGGUGUGCACCUGUAAUCCCAGCUACUUGGGAGGCUGAGGCAGGAGAAUCGCUUGAACCCAGGAGACUGAGGUUGCAGUGAGCCGAGAUGGUGCCACUGCACUCCAGCCUGGGCAAAACAGCAAGACUCCAUUCCCCCCCACCCCCCGCCAAAAAAAAAGACUCAUCUUCCCUGCUUUGAUUUUCUCCCUACACUGAUGCACCUCCCUCCAGGUCCACUGGUGUGUCCUCCCCUUCCGAGUGCUGCUGGUACUCACCUCACAUCGAGGAAUACAGAUGUACGAGUCCAAUGGCUACACCAUGGUCUACUGGCAUGCACUGGACUCUGGAGAUGCCUCCCCAGUACAGGCUGUGUUUGCCCGGGGAAUUGCUGCCAGUGGCCACUUCAUCUGUGUGGGAACAUGGUCAGGCCGGGUGCUGGUGUUUGACAUCCCAGCCAAGGGUCCCAACAUUGUACUGAGCGAGGAGCUGGCUGGGCACCAGACACCAAUCACAGACAUUGCCACUGAGCCUGCCCAGGGACAGGAUUGUGUGGCUGACAUGGUGACGGCAGAUGACUCAGGCUUGCUGUGUGUCUGGCGGUCAGGGCCAGAAUUCACAUUAUUGACCCGCAUUCCAGGAUUUGGGUAGAGUGCCGUGCCCCUCUGUGCAGUUGUGGCAGGGGAUCAUAGCAGCAGGCUAUGGGAACGGACAAGUGCAUCUGUAUGAGGCCGCCACAGGAAAUCUACAUGUCCAGAUCAAUGCCCAUGCCCGGGCCAUCUGCGCCCUGGACCUGGCUCCUGAGGUGGGCAAGCUACUCUCUGCAGGUGAGGACACCUUUGUGCAUAUCUGGAAGCUGAGCAGAAGCCCAGAGAGUGGCUACAUUGAGGUGGAACACUGUCAUGGUGAGUGUGUCUCUGACACCCAGCUGUGUGGUGCUCGAUUUUGUGAUUCCUCGGGCAGCUCCUUUGCCGUAACUGGCUAUGACCUUGCGGAGAUCCGGAGAUUCAGCAGUGUGUGAGAAGAGCAGCCUUCCUUUGUCCCUGUGGUAUUCAUAAAGUACCCACUCCACCCAG